GGUUUGAUCCUGGCUCAGAUUGAACGCUGGCGGGAUGCUUUACAUGCAAGUCGAACGGCAGCAUGGACUUCGGUCUGGUGGCGAGUGUCGAACGGGUGAGUAAUGUCGGAACGUGCCUAGUAGCGGGGGAUAACUACGCGAAAGCGUAGCUAAUACCGCAUACGCCCUUCGAGGGGAAGCGGGGGGACCUUCGGGCCUCGCACUAUUAGAGCGGCCGAUAUCGGAUUAGCUAGUUGGGGGGGUAACGGCUCACCAAGGCGACGAUCCGUAGCUGGUUUGAGGACGACCAGCCACACUGGGACUGAGACCUGGCGGGCUCACGGGAGGCAGCAGUGGGGAAUUUUGGACAGUGGAAACCCUGAUCCAGCCAUCCCGCGUGUGCGAUGAAGGCCUUCGGGUUGUAAAGCACUUUUGGCAGGAAAAGAAACGGCACGGGAUAAUACCCCGUGCAACUGACGGUACCUGCAGAAUAAGCACCGGCUAACUACGUGCCAGCAGCCGCGGUAAUACGUAGGGUGCAAGCGUUAAUCGGGGUACUGGGCGUAAAGCGUGCGCAGGCGGUUCGGGGGAAGAAGAUGUGAAAUCCCAGAGCUUAACUUUGGAACUGCAUUUUUAACUACCGAGCUAGAGUGUGUCAGAGGAGGUGGAAUUCCGCGUGUAGCAGUGAAAUGCGUAGAUAUGCCGGAGGAGCACCGAUGGCGAAGGCAGCCUCCUGGGAUAACACUAACUCAUGCACGAAAGCGUGGGAGCAAACAGGAUUGAAUACCCUGGUAGUCCACGCCCUAAACGAUGUCAACUAGCUGUUAUUUGGGGCCUUCGGGCAUGGUAGCGCAGCUAACGCGUGAAGUUGACCGCCUGGAGAGUACGGUCGCAAGAUUAAACUCAAAGGAAUUGACGGGGACCCGCACAAGCGGUGGAUGAUGUGGAUUAAUUCGAUGCAACGCGAAAAACCUUACCUACCCUUGACAUGUCUGGAAUCCCGAAGAAGAGAUUUGGGGAGUGCUCGCAAGAGAACCGGAACACAGGUGCUGCAUGGCUGUCGUCAGCUCGUGUCGUGAGAUGUUGGGUUAAGUCCACAACGAGCGCAACCCUUGUCAUUAGUUGCUACGAAGAGGGCACUCUAAUGAGACUGCCGGUGACAAACCGGAGGAAGGUGGGGAUGACGUCAAGUCCUCAUGGCCCGUGGCCCUUAUGGGUAGGGCUUCACACGUCAUACAAUGGUCGGGACAGAGGGUCGCCAACCCGCGAGGGGAGCCAAUCCCAGAAACCCGAUCGUAGUCGGAUCGCAGUCUGCAACUCGACUGCGUGAAGUCCAGAUCGCUAGUAAUCGCGGAUCAGCAUGUCGCGGUGGGCUCCGUUCCCGGGUCUUGUACACACCGCCCGUCACACCAUGGGAGUGGGUUUUACCAGAAGUAGUUAGCCUAACCGUAAGGAGGGCGAUUACCACGGUAGGAUUCAUGACUGGGGUGAAGUCGUAACAAAGUUAG
rnacentral:rRNA from 1 species